UCUUAUGGCUGAGCAGAGAAAGUGGUUUCUUGAGAUGGAAUCUACACCUGAUGAAGACGCUGCGAA
rnacentral:pre_miRNA from 1 species